UGCGCAGGCGGUUUUGUAAGUCAGAGGUGAAAGCCCGGGGCUCAACUCCGGAAUUGCCUUUGAAACUGGAAGACUUGAACACGGGAGAGGUGAGUGGAAUUCCGAGUGUAGAGGUGAAAUUCGUAGAUAUUCGGAGGAACACCAGUGGCGAAGGCGGCUCACUGGACCGUUGUUGACGCUGAGGUGCGAAAGCGUGGGGAGCAAACAGGAUUAGAUACCCUCGUA
rnacentral:rRNA from 1 species